rnacentral:lncRNA from 1 species
GUUGGAGGGCGGACACUUGGACGUCUUAUGAAAAUUAGAUUAUCAUUACAGGUAUUCUUCUGAUCCAAAUUUAUUUUAUUAUACUUUGAUUAAUAUAGUCAAGAGUUUCUGGAUAUUAGGAUUUUCGGUGCAUCGAGUAUUUUUUAGUAAAAUUUUUAAACACCUAAUCCUUUUGCUGCACCAUCGAAACCCAACAGACUGCACG